rnacentral:rRNA from 1 species
UACGGGGGGGGCAAGCGUUGUUCGGAAUUACUGGGCGUAAAGGGCUCGUAGGCGGCCAACUAAGUCAGACGUGAAAUCCCUCGGCUUAACCGGGGAACUGCGUCUGAUACUGGAUGGCUUGAGUGUAGGAGAGGGAUGCGGAAUUCCAGGUGUAGCGGUGAAAUGCGUAGAUAUCUGGAGGAACACCGGUGGCGAAGGCGGCAUCCUGGACCAACACUGACGCUGAUGAGCGAAAGCUAGGGGAGCAAACGGG